UACCACAUAGGUGGUAUUUUAUUUUAUUUUUAAAUAAUCAAAUGCUUGUUUGGGGGUAAAUGAAAAAUAUUUAGUCUAUUAGAUUUGCACUGCUGGAUUUUUUAAGUGUAAUCUCUACUGGUUAUCUCAUUGUUUAUUCUGUAAGAUUAGUCUUACCAAUUAAAGUUUGAUAAUUAAUUCUGUGUCUUUGAUUUGUUUGUUUAUCUUCCACAAUGAGGAAUAAACUGGAUGUACUUCUGUUGGUAAUCAAACUCUCCCAGCAACUGAGUGAGUCCAAAUCAAGUCAUCAAGGGAGACAAAUGGGGCGAGAGCCAGCUUUGACUAACCAUGUUCUAGUCUUUAUUUCCAAGUGUGACAUUACAUCAUUUGGCCUUGACUAGCUUUUAAUGAUCUUCUGAAGUUGGCUAGCCCAGUCCUAGUAAUUGCAAGAGUGAAUUGGAGAAGGGAGGUGGUUGAGUUAAUCUUUGAAGCUUUUCCUGAAGAAAUGGGCUUUUGACCUGUGAUUUCAUUCUUUCCACAAGUAUUUGAGCAUCUCCUGUGUGCAUAACCCUGUGGUGGACAUAAAAAUUAAAAUCAUAGACCGCCAAAAUGUGUUUAAUGUGUUAUAUGUGUGAAACAACUACAAGUCUGUGAUGCUGUCCUGCUUACAAGAGAACUGGAAAUGCAAAAUAAAGAAGAGACCAUUGUGGGAUUAGUCAGGAAAAAUUUCCUUGAUCAGGUCAGUCAGAGCUGUCAGCAUGACCCCCUCCAGUCGACUAGCAGCACUUUAUUACCAGAAGCGGUCUCCGAAUGUGACUAACAGGGAAAGGGAUGGGAGGUGGAUCCUGGACAAGGACAGACUCAAGGGAUGAGACCUCUUCAGUUUGCACAGACAUAGGGCAUUAGAAGGGCAGGAUCAGGAUCCAUAUUAUCACAAAGGGACUAGAGAGGGGGAACAAAGAUAUCUGAAUCCUAGACACCAGAUUGAGGCCCCAGCCUUAGGGUUUGAGGAGGGAAAGUGGAGAACAAGUAAUUCUUUAAAUUCCCAAAGAAGUGGGUCAAAUGAAAAAUGUCAAUAGGUUCAAAAAGGUUUGAUUAUCAUAAAAGGGCAGAUUUACAGGGGAAUUAUUAAGGAAAGCUAGGUGUGUUUGGAGGACCUUUUAAACUUCUGAGAUUAAUGUCAGGGAAGACAAAAAAAUGCCUCUUGCAGAAGCUGAAUCUUACAUACCUGUAAAAAAAAAAUUUUGGUGAACUUUAGGGUGCAGUUGGGUUGAACACUGUAUUUACUUGGACUUCCCUGGGUAAAGGGGGGAGCAGAUUUAGCAGCAAACUAAUUGGGGCAAGAGGGCAUCAGUACAGAAUGAUGGGGCACAACAAGCCAGCCAUGUUAUCAGCUUUCCUAACUGACUUUUAGAGUCUGGACUUGCCCAAAAAAAAUGGACUAAUUAGCAUAUUACAAGGACUCCUCCAGGUAAACAAGUUGACAUAUCUGGGGUCUUGAAUAAAACCAGACAAUAUGCUAGAAUCCUAGACAGCUUUAAAGAUUAAAUUAAAAGAGCUUAGAUAAUGCAUUCUCUGUAACAGUUUUCAUCUUUAUGUACUGGUAAUUUUAUCUUUGAGUCUGUAUUCUUUUCCCUCAUAAAUAAACCCUA